rnacentral:rRNA from 1 species
CCUACGGGUGGCUGCAGUGAGGAAUAUUGGUCAAUGGGCGCGAGCCUGAACCAGCCAAGUAGCGUGAAGGAUGACUGCCCUACGGGUUGUAAACUGCUUUUAUACAGGGAUAAAGUCAGGCACGUGUGCCUGUUUGUAAGUAUUUUAUGAAUAAGGAUCGGCUAACUCCGUGCCAGCAGCCGCGGUAAUACGGAGGAUCCGAGCGUUAUCCGGAUUUAUUGGGUUUAAAGGGUGCGUAGAUGGGUUGAUAAGUCAGUUGUGAAAGUUUGCGGCUCAACCGUAAAAUUGCAAGUGAUACUGUCAGUCUAGAGAACAGUUGCGGUAGGCGGAAUGUGUGGUGUAGCGGUGAAAUGCUUAGAUAUCACGAAGAACACCGAUUGCGAAGGCAGCUUACUAAACUGUCACUGACAUUGAUGCACGAAAGUGUGGGUAGCAAACAGGAUUAGAUACCCGAGUAGUC